UACGUAGGGGGCUAGCGUUGUCCGGAAUCAUUGGGCGUAAAGAGCGUGUAGGCUGCUCGGUAAGUCCGCUGUAAAAGUCAAAGGCUCAACCUUUGAAUGUCAGUGGAUACUGCCGGGCUAGAGUCCGGAAGAGGCGAGUGGAACUCCUGGUGUAGCGGUGGAAUGCGUAGAUAUCAGUCGGAACACCGGUGGCGAAGGCGGCUUCUUGGGCCGAGAUUGACGCUGAGGCGCGAAAGCUGGGGGAGCGAACGGG
rnacentral:rRNA from 1 species